CCUGCGGCCGAACCUGUGGGUUCGCGAAAUGGGUUGCUGUGCAGCGUGACCAUGCUGCACGAGGACGACUUUACGUCCUCAGCAUCGAGCAGCGCGCAAUUGUGCGCCGCUCCCUGAGUGCCACGCCCCCGGAAGGGGCGUGGCAUUGCAGGUUC
rfam:Ralstonia eutropha H16 megaplasmid pHG1, complete sequence.